rnacentral:rRNA from 1 species
CUGCUGCCUCCCGUAGGAGUCUGGUCCGUGUCUCAGUACCAGUGUGGGGGACCUUCCUCUCAGAACCCCCACUGAUCGUCGCCCCGGUGGGCCGUUACCCCGCCGGCAAGCUAAUCAGACGCAUCCCCAUCCUUUACCGGCCGAAGCCUUUGGUCAUGAAAAUAUGCAUCAACAUGACAACAUACGGUAUUAAUCCGCCUUUCGACGGGCUGUCCCAUAGUAAAGGGCAGGUUGGAUACGCGUUACUCACCCGUGCGCCGGUCGCCA